UUUGAUCAUGGCUCAGGACGAACGCUGGCGGCGUGCUUAACACAUGCAAGUCGAACGGAAAGGCCCUUUCGGGGGUACUCGAGUGGCGAACGGGUGAGUAACACGUGGGUGAUCUGCCCUGCACUUCGGGAUAAGCCUGGGAAACUGGGUCUAAUACCGGAUAUGACUACGCGAUGCAUGUCGUGUGGUGGAAAGCUUUUGCGGUGUGGGAUGGCCCGCGGCCUAUCAGCUUGUUGGUGAGGUUAUGGCUUACCAAGGCGACGACGGGUAGCCGGCCUGAGAGGGUGUCCGGCCACACUGGGACUGAGAUACGGCCCAGACUCUACGGGAGGCAGCAGUGGGGAAUAUUGCACAAUGGGCGCAAGCCUGAUGCAGCGACGCCGCGUGAGGGAUGACGGCUUCGGGUUGUAAACCUCUUUCAGUACAGACGAAGCGCAAGUGACGGUAUGUACAGAAGAAGCACCGGCCAACUACGUGCCAGCAGCCGCGGUAAUACGUAGGGUGCGAGCGUUGUCCGGAAUUACUGGGCGUAAAGAGCUCGUAGGUGGUUUGUCGCGUUGUUCGUGAAAACCUGAGGCUUAACCUCGGGCGUGCGGGCGAUACGGGCAGACUGGAGUACUGCAGGGGAGACUGGAAUUCCUGGUGUAGCGGUGGAAUGCGCAGAUAUCAGGAGGAACACCGGUGGCGAAGGCGGGUCUCUGGGC
rnacentral:rRNA from 1 species